rnacentral:rRNA from 1 species
GAUGAACGCUGGCGGCGUGCCUAAUACAUGCAAGUCGAGCGAACAGACGAGGAGCUUGCUCCUCUGACGUUAGCGGCGGACGGGUGAGUAACACGUGGAUAACCUACCUAUAAGACUGGGAUAACUUCGGGAAACCGGAGCUAAUACCGGAUAAUAUAUUGAACCGCAUGGUUCAAUAGUGAAAGACGGUUUUGCUGUCACUUAUAGAUGGAUCCGCGCCGCAUUAGCUAGUUGGUAAGGUAACGGCUUACCAAGGCAACGAUGCGUAGCCGACCUGAGAGGGUGAUCGGCCACACUGGAACUGAGACACGGUCCAGACUCCUGCGGGAGGCAGCAGUAGGGAAUCUUCCGCGAUGGGGGAGAGCGUGACGGAGCAACGCCGCGUGAGUGAUGAAGGUGCUCGGAUCGGAAAACUCUGUUAUUAGGGGAGAACAAAUGUGUAAGUAACUAUGCACGUCUUGACGGUACCUAAUCAGAAAGCCACGGCUAACUACGUG